UACGUAGGGUGCAAGCGUUGUCCGGAAUUAUUGGGCGUAAAGAGCUUGUAGGCGGUUUGUCGCGUCUGCUGUGAAAUUUCGGGGCUCAACCCCGAACUUGCAGUGGGUACGGGCAGACUAGAGUGUGGUAGGGGAGACUGGAAUCCUGGUGUAGCGGUGAAAUGCGCAGAUAUCAGGAGGAACACCGAUGGCGAAGGCAGGUCUCUGGGCCACUACUGACGCUGAGAAGCGAAAGCAUGGGGAGCGAACAGG
rnacentral:rRNA from 1 species